CCUACGGGAGACAGCAGUGGGGAAUAUUGCACAAUGGGGGAAACCCUGAUGCAGCGACGCCGCGUGAGCGAUGAAGUAUUUCGGUAUGUAAAGCUCUAUCAGCAGGGAAGAAAAUGACGGUACCUGUCUAAGAAGCCCGGGCCAACUACGGGCCAGCAGGCGCGGUAUCACGCAGGGGGCACGCGUUAGCCGGAUUUACUGGGGGUAAAGGGAGCGUAGACGGCUGUGCAAGCCAGAUGUGAAAGCCCGGGGCUCAACCCCGGGACUGGAUUUGGAACUGUGUGGCUGGAGUGUCGGAGAGGCAGGCGGAAUUCCUGGUGUAGCGGUGAAAUGCGUAGAUAUUAGGAGGAACACCAGUGGCGAAGGCGGCCUGCUGGACGAUGACUGACGUUGAGGCUCGAAAGCGUGGGGAGCAAACAGGAUUAGAUACCCUAGUAGUC
rnacentral:rRNA from 1 species